AGAUGGCGACCGGCGCACGGGUGAGUAACACGUAUCCAACCUGCCGAUAACUCGGGGAUAGCCUUUCGAAAGAAAGAUUAAUACCCGAUGGUAUAAUCAGACCGCAUGGUUUGAUUAUUAAAGAAUUUCGGUUAUCGAUGGGGAUGCGUCCCAUUAGGCAGUUGGUGAGGUAACGGCUCACCAAACCUUCGAUGGAUGGGGGUUCUGAGAGGAAGGUCCCCCACAUUGGAACUGAGACACGGUCCAA
rnacentral:rRNA from 1 species